UCCGGUUUAACACCGGCGGUCUUCCUAGAGUGCCCAACUGAAUGGUGGCAACUAGGAACAAGGGUUGCGCUCGUUAAGGGACUUAACCCGACAUCUCACGAUACGAGCUGACGACAGCCAUGCAGCACCUAUCACCCGGUCUCCGAAGAGAAAGCCCCAUCUCUGGGGUUGUCCGGGGAUGUUAAACCCAGGUAAGGUUCUUCGCGUUGCAUCGAAUUAAACCACAUGCUCCACCGCUUGUGCGGGCCCCCGUCAAUUCCUUUGAGUUUUAAUCUUGCGACCGUACUUCCCAGGCGGAGCACUUAAUGCGUUAGCUGCGGCACUGCAGGGGUCAAUACCCGCAACACCUAGUGCUCAUCGUUUACAGCGUGGACUAC
rnacentral:misc_RNA from 1 species